rnacentral:rRNA from 1 species
UACGUAGGGUCCGAGCGUUGUCCGGAGUUACUGGGCGUAAAGCGCGCGCAGGCGGCGGUGCUGGCCCGGCGUGAAAGCCCCCGGCUCAACCGGGGAGGGUCGUCGGGGACCGCACCGCUUGAGGGCGGUAGGGGCUGGUGGAAUGCUUGGUGUAGUGGUGAAAUGCGUAGAGAUCAGGCGGAACACCCGUGGCGAAGGCGGCCAGCUGGGCCGUCCCUGACGCUGAUGCACGAAAGCUAGGGGAGCAAACAGG